UACUUCUGCAAAUAUUAAAGAUUAAUCCAGCACUCGUGAUCGGAGUGCAAGCCUUUAGCUGACCCACAAAGCCCAAAGGAUUAGUUGGGUUUUUGAAACAGAUGCUGAUAUAAUUACACAGGAAGAAACAUGACUUGCCAGUUUGAAAAGACACCUUCAGAGCACUGGCAAAAAAGAGGACCUUUAGACUUCAAGAGGAGUGUGCGUACCUCUGAUGGUGUCUUUAAUAGUUGAUUGACCCCAAGUUACAGCAGUAUGAAAUAGAAAGAAAAA
rnacentral:lncRNA from 1 species